rnacentral:tRNA from 1 species
GGGGAUUUAGCUCAGCCGCAAAAGCGCCUGCCUUGCAAGCAGGCAGAUGGGAGUUUGAUCCCCG